rnacentral:tRNA from 1 species
GGGCUCAUAGCUCAGUCCGGCAGAGCAAUCGGCUCUUAACCGAUAGGUCGGGGGUUCGAAUGAAUAACUGUGUUAUUCACCCAGAAAAACGCAGUUUUUCUGAAUGUCCCUCUGGGCCCA